GACAGAGGGUGCAAACGUUGCUCGGAAUUACUGGGCGUAAAGCGCGUGUAGGCGGUCACGCAAGUCAGGUGUGAAAGCCCAGGGCUCAACCCUGGAAGUGCACAUGAUACUACGUGGCUGGAGUACUGAAGAGGAGAGCGGAAUUCCCGGUGUAGAGGUGAAAUUCGUAGAUAUCGGGAGGAACACCAGUGGCGAAGGCGGCCUUCUGGACGAUGACUGACGCUGAGACGCGAAAGCGUGGGGAGCAAACAGG
rnacentral:rRNA from 1 species